AAGGGCAGUAGGGGAGCGUUCCAAGCAGCAGAGAAGGUUGACCGUGAGGACAGCUGGAGCGCUUGGAAGUGAGAAUGCCGGUAUGAGUAACGAAAAGAUCAGUGAGAAUCUGAUCCGCCGAAAGCCUAAGGGUUCCUGAGGAAGGUUCGUCCGCUCAGGGUAAGUCGGGACCUAAGGCGAGGCCGAAAGGCGUAGUCGAAGGACAACAGGCAGAAAUUCCUGUACCACCAAACACCGCUAUGAGCGAUGGGGUGACACAGUAGGGUAGGGACGCAAGCUGAUGGAAGUGCUUGUCCAAGCAGUGAGGCUGGUGUGCAGGCAAAUCCGCACACGAUGAAAGCCGGGCUGUGACGGGGAGUGAAAAUAGCAGUAGCGAAGGUCUUGAUCUCACACUGUCAAGAAAAGCCUCUAGCCAGGUGCAGGUGCCCGUACCGCAAACCGACACAGGUAGGCGAGAAGAGAAUUCUAAGGCGCGCGGAAGAACUCUCGUUAAGGAACUCGGCAAAAUGACCCCGUAACUUAGGGAGAAGGGGUGCCCCGGUAGAGUGAAUAGCUCGAGGGGGCCGCAGUGAAUAGGCCCAAGCGACUGUUUAGCAAAAACACAGGUCUAUGCGAAGCCGCAAGGCGAAGUAUAUGGGCUGACGCCUGCCCGGUGCUGGAAGGUUAAGGGGAGUGGUUAGGGCUUAAGGCCCGAAGCUAUGAACCGAAGCCCCAGUAAACGGCGGCCGUAACUAUAACGGUCCUAAGGUAGCGAAAUUCCUUGUCAGGUAAAUUCUGACCCGCACGAAUGGCGUAACGACUUGGGCGCUGUCUCAACGAGAGAUCCGGUGAAAUUUUAAUACCUGUGAAGAUGCAGGUUACCCGCGACAAGACGGAAAGACCCCAUGGAGCUUUACUGCAGCUUGAUAUUGGACUUUGGUACGAUCUGUACAGGAUAGGUGGGAGCCUAAGAAGCCGGAGCGCCAGCUUCGGUGGAGGCAGCGUUGGGAUACCACCCUGAUCGUAUCGGAGUUCUAACCCGGGACCGUGAACCGGUUCGGGGACAGUGUCAGGUGGGCAGUUUGACUGGGGCGGUCGCCUCCUAAAGAGUAACGGAGGCGCCCCAAGGUUCCCUCAGAAUGGUUGGAAAUCAUUCGAAGAGUGCAAAGGCAGAAGGGAGCUUGACUGCGAGACCUACAAGUCGAGCAGGGACGAAAGUCGGGCUUAGUGAUCCGGUGGUACCGCAUGGAAGGGCCAUCGCUCAACGGAUAAAAGCUACCCUGGGGAUAACAGGCUUAUCUCCCCCAAGAGUCCACAUCGACGGGGAGGUUUGGCACCUCGAUGUCGGCUCAUCGCAUCCUGGGGCUGAAGUAGGUCCCAAGGGUUGGGCUGUUCGCCCAUUAAAGCGGUACGCGAGCUGGGUUCAGAACGUCGUGAGACAGUUCGGUCCCUAUCUGUCGUGGGCGCAGGAAAUUUGAGAGGAGCUGUCCUUAGUACGAGAGGACCGGGAUGGACGUACCGCUGGUGUACCAGUUGUUCCGCCAGGAGCACAGCUGGGUAGCUAUGUACGGAAGGGAUAAGCGCUGAAAGCAUCUAAGCGUGAAGCCCGCCUCAAGAUGAGAUUUCCCAAGUAGUAAGACCCCUUGAAGACGACGAGGUAGAUAGGUUGGGGGUGGAAGCGCAGCAAUGCGUGGAGCUGACCAAUACUAAUCGGUCGAGGGCUUAUCCUAAA
rnacentral:rRNA from 1 species